rnacentral:rRNA from 1 species
UACGUAGGGUGCAAGCGUUGUCCGGAAUUAUUGGGCGUAAAGAGCUCGUAGGCGGUCUGUCGCGUCUGCUGUGAAAUCCCGAGGCUCAACCUCGGGCUUGCAGUGGGUACGGGCAGACUAGAGUGCGGUAGGGGAGAUUGGAAUUCCUGGUGUAGCGGUGGAAUGCGCAGAUAUCAGGAGGAACACCAAUGGCGAAGGCAGAUCUCUGGGCCGUAACUGACGCUGAGGAGCGAAAGCAUGGGGAGCGAACAGG